rnacentral:rRNA from 1 species
AUUGAACGCUGGCGGCAUGCCUUACACGUGCAAGUCGAACGGUAACAGGUCUUCGGAUGCUGACGAGUGGCGAACGGGUGAGUAAUACAUCGGAACGUGCCUAGUAGUGGGGGAUAACUACUCGAAAGAGUGGCUAAUACCGCAUGAGAUCUACGGAUGAAAGCAGGGGAUCGCAAGACCUUGUGCUACUAGAGCGGCCGAUGGCAGAUUAGGUAGUUGGUGGGAUAAAAGCUUACCAAGCCGACGGUCUGUAGCUGGUCUGAGAGGACGAUCGGCCACACUGGGACUGAGACACGGCCCAGACUCCUACGGGAGGCAGCAGUGGGGAAUUUUGGACAAUGGGCGAAAGCCUGAUCCAGCAAUGCCGCGUGCAGGAUGAAGGCCUUCGGGUUGUAAACUGCUUUUGUACGGAACGAAAAGCUCUGGGUUAAUACCCUGGGGUCAUGACGGUACCGUAAGAAUAAGCCCCGGCAAACUUCGUGCCAGCAGCCGCCGCCGUAA